AUCUAUUAGGUAAGUCAUGCUAACCCGCAAAGUGGAAAGCAUGACUUAGUAAUCGGUUGUUGCAUCAACAUGCAACCGUAAACCUUAUUUAAAGUUGCUUCUUGUGGCUCUACAAGUGAAUGCAGUUGUC
rnacentral:sRNA from 1 species